GCGCGCAGCCGCAGAUCACGGUGCUGUUGUUUUGAAAAUGCAUUUCAUGCAGCGUUGAUAGACUGGCACAUAACUGGCAAGCAUUUCCCCCCGUACGACAUUGAACAUAUCGAAAAUGUGACGAGGCCUGUAUCAAACAUGACAUAAUCCGUCGUUAACCUUCCAGUCUACAUCCCAAAACGUUUGAGCUACGUUGUGAAGAUUAUGUAGUGGUUCCUAGUCACUCAUCCGGACAGUGGUGGGCCGACUGAAACAUUUUGGGGACAUAAUGCUGUGACGUUCCAAAAAGACCAGAUUCUCUCCAAUGUGUCAGCCAACAGCACUGACUGAUGAUGGACCAUGCAUGCACCUGCUGGGGCGUCUUCUCAAACUGCCUAUGAUGUUCACAGCUACACGAGCUAUUCAUUGUGUAGCCGUCACGUGACGUGGUGGUGUGUGCACAGGAGAAGAUAAACUGGCUCGCGCAUUCAUCUGUUGGGGCUCGUGGUCCUUUGCCUUCACACAGUCUCUACACACUGGGGAACCGGCUUGGCGCUACUCCACAUCGAGAAUUGAAAUGCAACAUCAGUCUUGUGGCGAAGUAACUUGUUCCCGUUGGAAAAAAGAAAAUGUCUGCUUCACUGACUGGAUGGCGGGGUAGCUGGCCCGGACAACAGUGCUUCUGGCAAGGGGCAGCAUGCUCGUCACUCAGGCCCUUAAAAAGUACUCUUUCGUUGGACCACGGAGGCUUGUGAGCAAGCCAAAGGAUCUUGGCAGCAAACCACGACGGACCAUUACAACAAUGAUAAUUUCACAACAUUGGUGUUCAGUCGAGUUUUAUUUCUAUGACAUUGUAAUUCAUAACCCAGAAGCACUAAAGAACCAGGCAUAAUGACCUA